CUUGUCAGUAUUUCCAGUUCCGCCCCUCUUCAGGGCACAUGAAGUGAUCACAUUCCUUGCUGCCUUGGGAUAAGUCACCGCUCUGACCAAUGAAAUGGGGAGUGGAAGUGACGUGGGUGGGAGCUUUAAGAGCCAGGAUUCAGUCGGCCAUGCUUUUUCUUUUGCUCUGUCACCCAAACUGCUGUGUUCCACAUACUGGCUUCAUCGUCUCGGGUCUAGGAGUGAGGAGGAUGCAGAGCGGAGCUGCGCCAACCACAGCAGACAUCUAGAGUUCAAGGAAGAGUAGGGGAAGAAACAGCAGAGGAAACUCUUCCAGAACUAGUGAUUCACAGUGGACCUGCGUGGAGAGCAUGGGAGCCCAUGGUUUGGGACACCAGUGGCAGAAUCAACACACCAGCGCUGGAACACAAGUUCAUUGAGAAGAGAAGGAAUUAAUAUUUUGAAACUAUGGCAAGCGUCAAGUCAGCUACCUGCUUUGAAUACAUUUUCUCAAGGGCUGUGUAAUAUUUCAACCAGGAAGUUCUUUAUCCAGUCAUCAGUUGAUGGACAUCUCAGUUGAUUCCAUAUCUUAGGGACCCCAGUCUGCAGCUGUGAGGAGGUGGCGUGGAGUCUGCCUUUUAGUGAGGGUGAUCCUCCAAGCCUGCAGCUCUAAAAGACUCACAUGGAAGCUCUCUAGAAAACAGAUGGAUACAAGAUUGGCCCCUGCUAAACAGGGUAUGUUCCUGGAGCAAAGAAAACACCACCAGCUUCCCCACUUCAUUAGUCACCUCCUGCUUACUCCUCAGGAGACUGACCCUAGAUUUCCUCCUCUCCUAAAAACUGACUGUGCUACUGUCCCAAGGGCAGCCCAGAAGUUCAUCCAGUUCCCAACCUAGCACGGUCAGCAGGUGCCUGGGGUCCUGACUCUGCCUAGAAACCACUGCCACCUGCCUCUGAAGCUUUCUCACCGCUGCCUGGGAUGACUGGAUCUCUUUCCUACCAAAUGGUACAGAACAGUUUUUCUUUUUCUCCUCUUCUGGCCCAUGAAAUUGUAAGCACAAAGCAGAAAUGCAGGCAGGAUCAAGGCUAUUUGUCAUUAGAGGUCUACUAAAUUACCUGCUUUGCCUAUUGCCCAACAUUCCCUCCGACCAGGACUCAUCCAAGGAAUUGCCUGCCUGCGAGAAAUCUGGGGAGGCGUUCUGAGACACAUUUAUACGUUGUUUGUUACCAGCUCAAAAGCAUAUGGAUGGCUUGAGUGUCAUCAGCUGGCUGGGAUCUGGAUCGAAGAAAAGGAUCAGGAAUCACCCAGGGAGGAAACUAUAUGUAUGUUUGGGAGCCCAUGAUAUCACAGCAGAACCCAUAAAUACAUGACAUCAGGUGAAACAGAACACAAAAUCACCGAAAUAGAAGUCUGGGGCAGGAGUGAAGUCAUUAUUGGUUUGGAUGAUAUACAUAUGGCAGUCAUUCUAGGUAAGUCUUUCUCAGUCUGUUUUUUAAAUCAUCAUUCCCUUAUGUGUCUUUAUAGACAUUUUUCUCUAAUCAUUACCCCCAUGAAAUUUACACACUGUGAUGUACAUCUGCUGAUGUACUUAUUCUUAAUAUCUAACGUGUUUUUACCUAUUUUGUCUUUGCUCCUUUGUGGGUGAUAUUGUUCCUACUGGGAACUCAUGUUUUAGAUGAAUUGGGACAGGUUAAGUGAAUGCAGGCCUAGUGAGGAUAGAAUGUACCUCAGAAAAUAAGAGGCAAGGGACAAGUAAGGGAUUCAGAGUUAGGAGGGUAAGAAGUAAAUUGAAGAAUUAGAAGGCAAAGGUGUCUUGGUCAGGUUUUGAUCUAGGGUAUAAGAACAGUAAUUAGUAUCCAUAUUAUCCAACAUAUUUUCUUUUUUAUAGCUUUGCACUAUAAAUUUUUCUAGACAGAUAUGAGGUUGGAACAGUACCUAACUCAUAAUGACUUCAGCCUCAGAAUGAUUGUAUGUAAUUAUGAGAUGUUGUAUGUAUCACUGCUCCUCCCAAAGUGAUCAAACUGAUUCUGAGACAAAAUGAGAAUGUGAAAAGUCUAUAUACCCUGUAACCAUAUUUCUAAUUGGCUUUUUUUAGCAUUGAUUUUUAUUUGAAAGGCAGAGAGAGAAACAAAGAAAGAUGUCCCAUCAACUGGUUUACUCCCAAAAUGCCCACAACAGCUGGAGCUGGGCAAGGUCAAAGCCAGGAUCCCAGAGUUCAAUCCAGGUCUCCCACAAAGUCAGCAGGAAUCUAAGUGUUUGAGCCCUCCCAGGGCAUACAUUAAAAAUAAGCCAGAUUGAAAGGGCAGCCAGGACUCAAACCCACACACACACCCCAAUAUGGGAUGCAGGCUUCCCAAGUAACAUCUUAAACACUGCAUCUAUGGUCUGUUCCUAAAUUCGAAGCUUUAGAUUCUAAUAAAGCAAGUUUUCAACCAUCUUGGACCCCUUCCUUAUUUUGCCUUCCUUUUCUCUCCACUACUCAAUCCCUGCAUUAAAUGAUAAAAUGAAGGUAAUCUGAGCCUGGAGGAAGGUGUGCACCGAGAUGCUGUGGAGAGAUCCCUUGGUGACAUUUUCUAAAAGUGAAAAUGGGUGUAAAUAAGGCCCAUUUCCACAGUAAUGUAAAUUUAAAAUUUAAUUCAUUUUAUGAGGUAAAAAUACCACCUCUGACAAUUGUCUGACAGUAACUUUCUUAAAACAGUAUAAGCUUGGAACUCACAACAUGAUGUCAUGAGCUAAUGAUGUAAUGAUGAACAGAAAAAGGAAAUCUCAAUUCAAUCUUGGAUAUAAGAAGAGAGGUGAUAACUAGGUAUUUUCCAGGAUUUUCUAGUACUUUCCAAGGUAAUAGGCACCAUAGCCAUCUGAGAAAAUGCUCAUUCUCGGCAGAUCUAUCCUCAAAGUGAAGAUGAGUAUCACAGCUCCAUCACCGUGGAACAGCAUCUGUUAACUUAUUUCAUUCUGACUCAAGCAAAUUUCUGAUUCAAAUUCAGCCUCACAAAUUGGUCCUCUAACCAACGAAGAUUCCUCAGCUGACCCACUAUUAAGUUUUCUCACCAGCUGAAAAUGGUAUUUUUCAUUGAAAAUUUAUUAGCUGGCAUUCUACAUUUUAAAUAAGCCCAUUGUAUGCAUUUAAAUUAUAGCAUGGUAUAAAUCUAAAUCCAUAAGUUCCUCCCAUUCUCCAUCUGUUCCUGUGAGGAGAUAGAUAAAUAGGAAGUGAGGUCAGGUCCCUUAGGGAAUGAAAAAAGGGGGAAGUCUCUUUAAGAAUGUACAAAAUGCAAGCUUUGCCCAAAAGCUACCUCUGGCAAGACAAAAGUGCCGAUCCCACCCUUCUGAGUUUAUUGUGGAAAUAGAAAGAAGUUGCCUAUCCUCUCCUCCCCCUUCUGAUGGUUUUUUUUGUUUUAUGGCGAGCAGGCUAGACAGGACCAAAAUUCAGAGCUUCUGAUGGGUUUGUCCCUGCCCUUUGAUUGAUUGAUCCCUGAGUUGUGUUUUAAAGGCCCUACUGGAACCAGUUUCUCAGGUCCUCUCUUGGAGCCCCUCUCCUGGCUGCUAUGGCAGAAGGUUUCACUUAAUGCAGGAAUGUAAGUAGUGACUUACAUGAACCUUGCUUUGUUUACUGCCUUGUCCACAUGGAAAUUCUUCUAUGUGAUGCAAGAACUAAGGUCACCUUCCUUCACUGCCGUUCCCAUGUAAGAAUCCUUUACCCUCUAUCUAUGCAUUUACCCCACCACCUUCCCAUAUCACUUAAUCAAAAGCUAAGGCAUUAUCUGAAAAUUCUUGUUUCCCUUGGUCCUUCAAUUAAACCAGUCAUUAUAGCUUGCUGAUUGCUCCAUGUCCCAACAUUCUUGCAUCACCAGGGCUGCUAUCUUAGUCCCUUAUCAGUUCUCUCCAACCUCUACAAAGGUCUCUGUACCGCUGAUUGUUCUUUCAAAUCAGGUAUUGCCUUUAACAGCACUACUGCAGCUGUAACUGACAUGGCUAAAAUGAUUCAGGCCCGAACUUAUUGUUGUGUUUCUUUUUCUAUUCCUCAACUCGGGUUUGGUCUUUGCAUUGGCCCUCUCCUUUCAGAAGAAACAUUCUCUGUGGCUGCUGCAGAGGCAUUGACCAAAUCUCCAAUAGGGACUUGCUGUCCAGCUGAGGGAGUUCAAUCAGCAACAACCUCCAGCCAUGAGCUCCUUUGGUAUCUGCCUCAGUUGCAGAGACACCCUUCACUCCAGGUCAUGCUGUUCCCAAGGUUGCAUGUGCAUGGUGACUAAGCAGAGCAGAUCAGCCACUUUGGGUCCAUGCAUGUCAGUCAUGGGCUCUGCUCACUCCAGAGCUCACUGCCAGACUGAGACUUUGUCAGGCUGCUACCACAAUUCGGCUUCUCCUUCUGCCCCAUCAUGCAUCUCUUCUCAUUCCUACUCUAAAGAGUCAGCCCUGAUAACCACCUGCAUUUCCCACUUCAUCUUCCACCAGCUGGCACAGUGUCUGUCUCCAGAGAACCCAGCCUAUCACAGGAAGUUACAUGGCUGACAGUUAGGAUUCCAAUGUACCCCAACUCCAUGAUCCCAGCAUCAAGAACUAUCAUUCCUCUUCUUGCUGUGCCUAGAACAAUCCUAAGAUAGAUUCUGAUUCAGUCUAUUUGGUUCAUCUUCAAUUCUCUGGGACUAAUUACUAGGGCCACAACAGCCCCAUCAGGACCAAAAAGUUAUCCAAUGGAAGAAGAAAGGUGUCCCUGUAGUCCCUUCAAUAAUCAGCUAAGGGCUUUUUCUAAACCACAGAUCUAAAUCUGCUUUUCCUUUGUUUAAGCAUCAACUUUCUCCCAUUGCCUAUAAUAAAAUGUUGGUGAAAAAAUAUUCAUUAUAAUGCAAAACAUCCUCAAACAAAAAUUACAUAUUACUCUUCAUUAUUGGGCAGAGUAAUUCUCUAAAAAUGUAUUCUGCCUCAAAUAGGGAUUAUUUGGCUGGUGCCGCGGCUCACUAUGCUAAUCCUCCGCCUGCGGCACGUGCACCCCGGGUUCUAGUCCCGGUCAGGGCGCCGGAUUCUGUCCCAGUUGCUCUUCUACCAGUCCAGCUCUCUGCUGUGGCCCGGGAGUGCAGUGGAGGAUGGCCCAAGUGCUUGCGCCCUGCACCCGCAUGGGAGACCAGGAGAAGCACCUGGCUCCUGGCUUCGGAUCAGCGCAGCGCGCCAGCCAUAGCAGCCAUUUGGGGGGUGAACCAACGGAAAAGGAAGACUUUCUGUCUGUCUCUCUCACUGUCUAACUCUGCCCAUCAAAAAAAAAAAGGGGGGGGGGUAUUUAUUUGUGUAAAAUGACACUCAGAGGAAUUCAGUCGUUCUCUUUAGUUCAGCUGCUUAGGUAUGGUGUGGAGGGCUAAAACCUUGUCAGUUCUCAUGAUUGCAACAUGGCUGCCAAGGCUCUAGCCAUCAUGCCUUCAUUCAAGAUAGAACACACCAGAAAGGAAGAUGACACAGGAAGGAUUUCCCAAAACCACCCCAAAUGCAAACCCCACCAGAUUCCCAGUAACAUUAUAUAGGCCAGAAACGAAUCACAUAAAAAUCCUGGUUGCAAGGGAGAUGUUUUAGAAAGUAAGGCUAUUGUAGGAGUUAUCAGUAGAGGACAGAUUUAUACUUAGCUAGAAAAGAGACAAGGUGAAGACUCAGGGGUGUUAGGGACAAUGAAAUGCUGGUAGAACUGAAGGAGGCAAAGCAUCAUUUGGAGUGAUGCUUUCAGAUGGAGGGAAGGAGAAUGACAGAGGUGGGCAAAGAGUCGAAAAUUUUCAAUUGAGAUUGACUGGAGUUGGUCGGAACUAUCUGUAACCAUGAGAUAGAUCGAAACACAGGAGUCAGGGGCUAAGUGGAGGACGGGGCAAGGAAACAGGAGAUACCUCUGUCUUAACAGUUUUUUUUUUUUUAAUUUUUAUUUAUUUGAGAGAUAAAGAGGUCUUCCAUCCAUUGGUUCACACCCCAGAUGGCCACAAUGGCUGGAGCUGGGCCAGUCCAAAGCCAGGAGCCAGCAGUUUCUUCCAGGUCUCCUCUAUGGGUUCAGGGACCAAAGCACUUGGGCCAUCUUCUACUGCUUUCCCAGGCCAUAAGCAGAGAGCUGGAUCAGAAAAGGAGCAGCCAGGACAUGAACUGGCAACCCAUAUGGGAUGCUGGCACCAGCAUUGGCCCCCUAUCUUAACAGUUUUUAUAGGCCUAACUUGUACCUGUCACAGAGUAGCACAAGGACCAACAACUCAUAAACUGACUUUCCAGACCAUGUUAAUAUAUACUGUUUUUUUUUUAAAUGUUCAUUUAUUUUUAUGUAUUUGAAAGCUCCAUUUGGGUCUCCUACAUGAGUAACAUGUGAGUAGCAAAGACCUAUGUACUUGGACUGUCUUGCGCUGCUUUCCCAGGCAGGAGCUGGAACAGAGGCAGAGCAACCAGGACCCAAACCAAUGCUCCAAUGUGGGAUGCCACUGCACCACAGCACUGGCACCCCAAGCAGUGUCUUAACCACUGCACCAAAUGCCUACCUCUCCUCUACAACUGUGAUCUGUCUCCUGACAUCUAGAUUGUCUUGUCAAACAGCUUUCUCCUCUCCAGCAUUCUGUAUGUGCCUAAUCUCAACACGCCCAAAGGUCAAAUCACCAUCCCUUAGUUUCGAGCAACUCAUCAUUCUCUUAUGUUCCCUGGUUGGGAAACUUCAAACUUUUUAAAUUAGCAUUUUCUUCAAAACUUUAAUGUAUAAACAAAAGUUCCAAUUCUUCCUUCUGCCAGAACACUGUGAAUAAAUCAGGAAUCAUCUUGAUUCUGUGUGGUCACACACAUAAUUUGUCAUUGAUAGAAUUCUUUAUACUGCUGUUUAUUUAAAAAAUGGGAUAAACCUAUAUUUUCUGAACACUAAUUUAAAGGUUCCUCAAUGGCUACUAAAGCUAGUAUGUAACACACUGAUCCUAAUAAUCUAUGGGUUAUGUUUCAAUUAUUUUGUUAUCUUUGCUUUUCAUAGUAGCUAUCACCUCUCAGGUAUUUCAUUGUCUUCUAAACUCAGCAAUGAAAGGAUAAAGAUUAUGAUUAUCGUGUUCACUGUGUGUCCCUACUACUUAGAGAAAGGUCUACUAUCAACUAGACACUUCUUGAAUGAGCACAUGGAUGAUUAAUAUCACAAUGGCAAAAAAAAAAAGUGUUGCUAAAACAGGAGUUAAAAUCUAUUGAGAAUGCACUGUGGGCCAGUACUGAGAGGAUAUACUAUGUGUUUAUAUGCACUUUUUCUUUUGUUACUCAGAACCUAUGAAGUAAAUAAUAUUACUACACCCAUUUUACAGAUGAACAAAUUAAAACUUACAGAAAUUAAGGGAGCAGAUGUUUAAUCUACUGUUAACAUUUCAGUUAGGGUGCCAAUGUCCCACUUCACAGUACAUAGGUUCAAUACCUGGUUCCAGCUCCUGGCUCAACUUCUGAUAAUGCAAUGAUGACUAAAGUGACAUUAUUCUCUCUCUCUCUUUAAGACUGAUUUAUUUACUUGAGAGGCAGAGUUACAUAGACAAGGAGAGACAGAGAGAGAGAGGUCUUCCAUCAGCUGGUUCACUCUCCAAAUGGCAGCAACAGCCAGAGCUGGGCUGGUCAAAAGCCAGGAGCCAGGAGCUAGAAGUUUCUUCUGGGUCUCCCAUGUGGGUUCAGGGGCCCAAGCAGUUGGGCCAUCCUCCACUGCUUUCCCAGACCAUUAGCAGAGAGCUGGAUUGGAAGUGGAGCAGCUGGGACUUGAACCAGCACCCAUAUGGGAUGCCAGUGCUGCAGGGAUUUGGCAAACGAAGCCACAACACUAGCCCCUCAAGUGGUAUUAUUCUCACCACCUACAUAGAAGAAAUAGAUUGAAUUACCAGCUCCCAGCUUUUUUCUGGCCCAAUCCCAGUUAGCCACUGUGGACAUUUGGGAAGUGAACAAGUGUUUGGGAGUACCUGUGCUCUCACUGUGUAUGUGUGCAUGCACGCCUGUUUCUCUCUCUCAAGUUAAUAGAUUUUAAAAAUUGGUAUCCAACAUUGUGUAGCAGGUAAAGCUGCCACCUGCAAUGCCAGCAUUCCACAUGGGCUUUGGUUCGCAUCCCGGCUGCUCCACUUCCAAUCCAGCUCCCAAAUAAUGGCCUGAAAAAGCAGCAUAAGAUGGCCCAAGUACCUGGGCCUCUGUCACCCACAUGGGAGACCUGGAAAAAGCUCCUGGAUCCUGGCUUCAGCCUGGCCCAGCACUGGCCAUUGCGGCCAUCUGCAGGCAGUGAACCAGCAGAAGGAAGAUCUCUGUCUCUGUCUCCGCCUCUCUCUUGUAACUCUAACUUUCAAAUGAAUAAAUCUUUUUAUUUUUUUAAGUCAUUUACUCAGGGACCAUCUACUACAUGAAGAAUCUUAGGGCUCUGUUUCUGAUUCCAUGAUUUUAAUGACUAUGAAGCUAUCAAAUUCAUUAUCUUUUUUUAAAAGCUUGAGCAUAUUUCAGAUUUUUCCUAAAGCAUGCAUUCACACUCCCCUGUGUUUUAUUUUAGUAAAACUUCUUCAACAGGAAAUUUUAAUUAAGCCAGGAGUGGCAUCACAGAGAAUAGUGGAGUUUUUCCCUUGCCUGUAGUUUCUCUGAUCUCUGCUGUGGCCUAUAGAGGGUAGUUCCACUACUAAAGUCUUCUUAGUUAGGAUUACAAUUAUCAUAUGAAUUAUCUCUUUCUUGUAUAAUUGUUUAAAUGUAGCCAACAGAUGAAGUAACUAGUAUUAAGAUUUUUGCUGAAGUGAACUCUUUUUUUUAAAGAUUUAUUUAUUUGAAAGUGAGAGUUACACAGAGAGAGGAGAGGUAGAAAGAGAGAAGUCUUCCAUUCGAUGGUUCACUCCCUCUUGGCUGCAACAGGUAGAGCUGUGCUGAUCUGAAGCAAAGAGCCAGGAGCUUCUUCCAGGUCUCCCACCCAGGUGCAGGGGCCCAAGACUUGGGUCAUCUUCUACUGCUUUCCCAGGCCAUAGCAGAGAGCUGGAUUGGAAGUGCAACAGCUUGGACUCAAACCAGCACCCAUAAGGGAUGCUGACACUGCAGGUGGCGGCUUUACCCACUAUGUCACAGUGCCGGCCCCAUGAACCUUAUUUUUAAGGAUGAAUUUAUCCCAUGUGCUCUAAGGUUGAAGCACCUGUGGAAGAAAAAAUGGACUACUAUAAAAGCCACUCUUUUGUUCCUAUAUGAAACACAUGAAGAACAGUGUGUUUUCUAGGCAGUUUGAUGGGAGAGGUAGAAGGGUUUAGAUCUCUUGGUAACACUCCUUAUAAAUAAGAAAGCAUCCCUGAGCUAAACUACAAAGAAAUGGGGAACAUGGAGCUAUGUCAUGUUGGAAUGGAGACUUUGCUGGUUUUUUAUUUAUUUCUCUAGGAAGAGGAGAAAUGAGGCACUUGGGUAGGGAUGUAAAAAUUUGAAAACAAGGAUUGUAUUGUGUUUCCAUGUGAUAUAUAAUGAAAAUUCCCUGUGCAGAAAAGAGUACCCAUAGCAGGCCUAACUUCCGCCUUUUGGGAAGCUGCUCACGGGGUUGACCCUUGGUUAUUGUGUAGGAAUAUGGAUUUCAAGCCAGUUCCCACCAUCCUUGGAACUCGUAGAAGUUCCUCCUUGAGAUAAACUGUGGCAACGGUAUGUAUGGUUUAUCCUCAACACCUGCUUUCCUCCUGGGAGUCUGGAAUUCAUGUGCCAGGCAGAGGAUGUCUACAUGAUCAGCCCCAGGGCUCUGAGUCUCCAACAAGCUGCCUUGCUGGCGAAAGUCAGGAAGCAGUUGCCAGAGCCCCCCGCUAGAGGAACUGGGUGUAUCCUCUGUGGCUCCUCUGGGAGAGGAUCCUUGCAAGCUUGUGUGUGAUUCCCUAGGACCUCACUCCUGUGACUUUGCCCUUUGCUAGCUAUGUAUUCCUGUCCUUUGUGUAAUAAAUUCAGCCAUAAGUACCAUUGCUUGCAAAAUCCUGUCGCCUUAGCAAAUCAGCAAGCUGGGGGUGAUCUUGGAGAUGUCCACACAGUGCUUAAUGAUCACUGAAGAUCUUCAGUUUCUCACACAUCUAUUGAGUUUUUACCAUGUACAUAAGUACUUUUUAAGCCUGGAGAGUAUGAUAAUGAAAAAGGUGCAGCCUCUGUUGAAAAACCUCUGGUCCAGUGGAGUGAUUGUUACCCAAUGUUGAUUUUGUGCCUUAGGAGACAUUUGUCAAUGUCUGGAGAUGAUUCUGAUUGUCACCAUGGGGACAGUGCUAUUGGCAUCAAGUGGGUAGAAACUAAGUAUGUUAAUAAACAUUCGAUGAUAAAACAGUACAGCUUCCCUGCUCCAGCCAUCAUAAAGGUCUAUCUAGUCCUGAAUGUCAAUAGUGAGAGAUUGAGAAACUCUAAUUUCAUGGGAGAAGCACACACAUUAACAAAUUGGCAUCAAAUGAGUAGAAACUAAGUAUGUUGAUAAACAUUCUAUGAUAAAACCAUACACCUUCCCUGCUCCAGCCAUCAUAAAGGUCUAUACAGUCCAGAGUGUUAAUAGUGAAGAGAUUGAGAAACUCUGAGUUCAUGGGAGAAGCACACAUAUUAACAAAUCAUUUUAUUUUUUUAAAGAUUUAUUUAUUUAUUUGAAAGUCAGAAUUACAGAGGAGGCAGAGAGAGAGGUCUUCCAUUCACUGGUUCAUCCCCCAGUGGACCGCAAUGGCCAGAGCUGUGCCGAUCCAAAGCCAGGAACCAGGAGCUUCCUGCAGGUCUCCCACAUGGGUGUGGGAGCCCAAGGACUUGGGCAAUCUUCCACAGCUUUCCCAGGCCAUAGCAGAGAGCUGGACAGGAAGUGCAGCAGCUGGGUCUUGAACCGGUGCCCAUAUGGGAUGCCAGCACUGCAGGCAGUGGCUUUACCCUCUACGCCACAGCACAGGCCACACAAAUCAUUUUAACACAAUGUAAAACUAUUCACUGACUUCUAAAGCCCCAGCAGUCUUUCUCCUGCACUGCCUUAGUCAUCCAUCUCCAUUGAAGGGCCCCCCACCUACCAUCUUUUCACUUUCCUUUACUCUCAGGACCUCAUUUCCCUUGAUAAGAUUGAAUUCCAUCAUCAAUUACAGUAAAUAUUUCCUUUCAUAGCCCCCACAUGGCCACAUUCAUCUCCUAUUGUAGACCUAACUUGGAUAGUCAUGAUACUACUUAGAUCCUAAGCUACUACCUGCUCCAGACCCCAACUAUGCAAUAGCCUUUGACUGAUUUGUAGUAAACUGAUGGGCACUAACCAACAAGUAUGCCUUGAAUGCUGCCUGAUAUCAUAUUUUUUUCAUAAUUUAUUUAUUUGUUUGAGAGGCAGAGUUAGAGAAGGAGAGACAAAGAGAGAGAGGUCUUCCAGCCUCCCCAAAUGGCUGCAGUGGCCAGAACUGAGCCAACCCAAAUCCAGGUGCUUCUUGUGGGUCUCCCAUGUGGGUGCAGGGGCCCAAGCACUUGGGCCAUCUUCCACUGCUUUCCCAGGCCAUUAGCAGAGAGCUGAAUCAAAAAAGGAGUAGCCAGCACACGAAUCAAUGGUCAUAUAGGAUGUCAGGACACAGGUGAAGUUUACCUACUAUGCCACAGCACCAGCCCCUGAUGUCACAUUUUUACAGUCAAUAAUUUCAUAUUUUCUCUCUCAAAUCUUCUACACCUCCUGUCUCUUCUUUACUCUCAAAAUGCUCACCGAAUUUCCCACUUCUAUGAGAAAAUAAAAACAACUGGGGCCAGUACUGUGGCGUAGCAGGUAAAGCCACCACCUGCAGUGCUGGCAUCCCAUAUGGGAUGAGUCCCAGCUGCUCCACUUCCUAUCCAGCUCUCUGCUACAGCCUGGGAAAGCAGUGCAAGAUGACCCAAGUCCUUGGGCUCCUGCACCCACAUCGGAGAUCCAGAAGAAGCUCCUGGCUUCGGAUCAGCACAGCUCCCACAGUUGUGGCCGAUUGGGGAGUGAACCAUCAUAUGGAAGACCUCUCUCUCUCUCUCUGCCUCUCCUUCUCUCUCUGUGUAACUCUGAGUUUCAAAUAAAUAGAUAAAUCUUAAAAAAAAAAAAAAAAGAAUACCCACUAGUGUUCACCGCCACAGCUGCUUACCUGCAUGUAGUGAGCCCUACUGACUCUGUCUUUUUUCCAUGGAAGUGGAUGAACACCAUUCGUCAAUCAGUUCUAAACCCCUCUCAGUUGCUCAAAGACAUCUUUCUAGCAGCUCCAUCCCCUGUCUCCUGCAUCCUCAGCACUUUUUUCUGAACUCUCUCCCACUAACUCACAAAUAUGCUAUUAUUUUCCCCACCAAAAAGAAAUCUUCUCUUGACCCUACUUUUCCCUCUAUUCACUGCUCCAUCUCUUCUCUUUUCUUUACUGCAAAAUGCUCAGAAUGGUGUUUGCUAUUUGCUGCUCUGAAUUAGUCCUCCCUCAUUCUGUUUUGAGCCAGUUCAGGGUUUCCUCAACACUAUCUCCCCAGCUCUGCUCCUGUCAUCUUCCUACCUACUGUGCAGCAAGGCAAUUACCCUCCAGUAAGUCAGAUGGAAGACAAGUGCCAAAGGAAAGCCUUACCCUCCAAGACAGUGAUAAAGCCCACAGGUUUUCUGUUAAAGUAACUCUGCUAUUCCUAUUUUUUUUUAAGAUUUAGUUUACUUGAAAGAGUUACACAGAGAGAGAAGGAGAGGCAGAGAGAGAGGUCCUCCAUCCACUGGCUCACUCCCCAAUUGGCCUCAAUGGCCAGAGCUGAGCCAAUCAGGAGCCAGAAGCCUCCUCCAGGUCUCCCAUGCAGGUGCAGGGAUCCAAGGACGUGGGCCAUCUUCCACGGCUUUCCCAGGCCAUAGCAGAUCGAAAGCGGAGCAGCCGGGUCUCCAACCAGUGCCCACAUGGGAUGCCAGCACCGCAGGCAGCAGCUUUACCCACUCUGCCACAGCACCAGCACCCUCCUAUUUCUUUUAAGGAAUGUACAGUCCCUCUCAACUCUCUGAAUCAUGGCUUUCACAUUUAGCUCAUGAUACAAAUUGCUUUUUUAAAAAAUAUUUUAUUUAUUUGAAAGAGUUACAGAGAGAGGAGAGACAGAGAGAGAGGCCUACCAUCCAUUGGUUCACUCCCCAGAUGGCCGCAACGGCCAGAGCUGUGUCAAUCUGAAGCCAGUAACCAGGAGCUUCCUCUGGGUCUCCCACAUGGGUGCAGGGGCCCAAGGACUUGGGCCAUCUUCUACUGCUUUCUCAGGCCACAGCAGAGAGCUGGACCAGAAGAGGGAGCAGCCAGGAUAUGAACCGGCACCCAUAUGGGAUGCCAGUGCUUCAGGCCAGAGCACAGCACUGGCCCUGCUUUGUUCUCUUAAUAGCUCUAAGCUUAAUUUCAAUAAAAAUAGCACAAUUGGCCAAUUUAUGCUUUCAUCCUAGCCUAUAUAAUACCCACUAGGUUAUAGAGUAGUAGAUUUUUAUACGUUUACAUAUUUAUUUGAAAGGCAGAGUGUCAGAGAUGGAGAAAGAAAGAUCUUCCAUCUGCUGGUUCACGCCUCAAAUGGCUACAACAGCCAGGGCUGGGCUAGGCCAAAAACAGGAGCCAGGAUCUCCAUUCUGGUCUCCCACAUGUGUGCCAAGGGCCCAAGUACUUGUUCUCUUAUCUGUUGCCUUCCUAGCCAGUUGUAUUAAUAGGAAGCUGGUUCAGAAGUGGAGUAGCUGGGACUUGAACUGGCAUUCCAAUAUGGGAUGCCAGCACUGUAAGUGGCAGGCUUGACUUGCUGUGCCACAACACCAGCCCCAGACUGGGUGAUCUUAUUCAGGUCUAUACUGCCAGUCUAUACACUGGUCAUACCUAUAUAAAAAGUAGCCCAAUACUGUUUCUCUGAAUCAGUGCUGAGGGCAGGAAAUCUUUGUCCUGAAAAGAGCAAUAAACAUUAAAAAUAGUGACUCUCAGUAAAUGUUCAAUUAUUUCCUCAUUCUCUAAUGCCAUGGAUCACAUACUACCUUGUAAUACACUCAUCUAUAGGGAACUUCAAAAAUUUUCAUGGAAAUGGAAUUAAGGAGCCAUGCUGUGAAACAGUGGCUAAGCUACUGCCUGCAAUGCUAGCAUCCUAUAUCGGAGCACUGGUCUGAGCGCUGUUGCUGACCCAACUCCCUGCUAAUGCACCUGAGAAAGCACUGGAAAAUGGCCCAAGUACUGAAUCCCCUGCCACCCAUGUGGGAGACUCAGAUGGAGUUCCUGGAUCCUGCUUUUGGUUUGGCCCAGCCCUAGCUGCUGCAGCCAUUUAGGGAAUGAAGCAGCAGAUGGAAAAUCUCUCUCUCUCUCCCCCCAUCUCUGUCACUCUGCCUUAUCAAAUAAAAUAAAUCUUAAAGAAAUGAAAUGGAAUUGCAAGAUAAGUUUAUGUCAGUACAAAAUUAUUUUGAAGCCCAUGCAUAGUUUUUUCAUAAAAGUACAAUUUCCAUAAACUUUGGAGACCUCACAUGUUGUGCCCUAUGUGGUACCCCUUAGAUUUAAGUGCCUGCAUUCAAGGACUACAUACCAGUCAUUUCCAUAUUUCAGUGCAUUGACCCACAUUAGAGAAAUACAACAGGGAAGUUUGCCCUUUAAGUCUUGAACCUGAACCCCUGCCCUCUGAACUUUCUCCUCCUCUCCAGCUGCUCCUGGCAUCCCUAGCUAUAUGCUACACUGCCUAUGCUGUGAUGAAGGCUGGGCAGCUGUCAGAUUUACUGUUUUAUCCCAAGAACCUUACAACAUACCCUAGCCUUUGUAGAUUAUUGGUAAAUAUUACUUAAAUAAAUAACAAUCAAGCUUUGGUUUCUUUGAUUUCAUUUGUAUGGCUCCCCCCUGGCUAGCCACCUAUUAUAUUCUACUGAUUACACCUUUUUACUCAACCAUAUUUUUAAUAUAUAUUUUUAAAGAUUUAAUUUAUUUAUUUGAGAGGCAGAGAGAAGGCUUUUCCAUCAUCUGGUUCACUCCCCAGAUGGCCACAAUGGCCAGAGCUAGGCCCAUCUGAAGCCAGGAGCCAGGAGAUUCUUCCAGGUCUCCCAUGCAGGUGCAGCGGCCCAAUGACUUGGGCCAUCUUGCACUGCUUUCCCAGGCCAUAGCAGAGGGCUGGAUCAGAAGAGGAACAGCCAGGACAUGAACUGGUACCCAUAUGGGAAUGCUGGCACCACAGGCAAAGGCUUAGCACAGCAGAUCACAGCACCGGCCUUGUAAUCGUAUUCUAUACCCACCCUUGAAAUCCACAUUGAGAAGCCUGCCAAGGCAUGGUACAUUUGCAUGGCAUGCAAUAUAUUUCCAGCAAAUAGCCUUCAUGGAAAUAUAACACAUCACUGCAUAGGCACAGAGCUUGUUUAUAUGCGAUCAUUUUCCCCUCUACUCACCAUGAUGCUGGGCAAUAGAAAUUAGCUCAUUAAUAAUAAUGUAAAUGUCCCUGCUAAUAAAGAUAGGAGCUACAUUAGUGCCAAAUAACAUGCCUUACAGGACUGAGAAAUUUUAACAUGGGUCUGUGUUCAAUUGCUUAUUGUUCUAGGAGGGUUUUUGGCUGAGAUAAUCUCUAAGUCAUACUUUUAUCUACCAGCACUCAUGUUUUGGAAAUUUCUGUUCAUUAGCAUCACGACUAGAGGAGGAGAUAUACAUGGAGAAAAGAAACUAAAAUUCAAAUUUAUUAACUGAGUUGUUUGCCCAUAAGUCUGGUAUUUUUUUUUUAGAUUUGUUUUUUUCAAAAUUGAGAAGCACAAUCUGGUAGAAGGGGAAGGAGGCUGAAUCAGUGAAUAGAAAUGAAGUGUGAAGCUGACCUAUGGCAUUUCAUUAUCAGGAAUAUCCCUAUUUUGCAUUAAAAUGGAUCCUUGGAGACCAGUCAUAGUAGUAUCUAUGUGAUAGGCCUGUUUCUCUGGCUAUGGGGCAUGUGUAACAGAAUCUGGACUUGGGGUAGAGGAGAGGUUUGAGGGAGUUGUGAUGGAAAUGAACCAGAAUAAUGAAUUACACACACAUUUGAGUUGAAGCUGCUCCUGGCAAGCUGUAAAUUAUGAGAGUCAUUUAUAAGAGUCCAUAAUUGUUAAAGAAAUUUCUGUGUUACUCAUCAGGAGACAGAGCCAAUAAAAAAAAAAAAAUCAGUGCCAGCAAAGAAAAGAUUCUCCCUCCCCUCCCAUAUCAAUUAUUGGCUAUUCUCUGUUGAUGAUUGAGGAAUGACUAGCAACUUAAUUAACUCUUUUCCCAUUUAAGAAAAUCACAUUGCUUUGCUCCAAGCAUGCCCAUAAAAGCUAUGCAGAAGAUCUGCAGCUACAACGUAGAUUUCAAAAAAUCCCAAAGCUAGCGCCCCAGGUUCCAACACAAAGGCAGGAUAAAACAUAAUUUUAGCUCUUAUUUAAGAAGAUUAAAUUCUCCUUUAACACAAAACAUAUAUUUUGCUUUCUACAGUACUAUAUUAGACCAAAAAUUUGCACUUCAGAAAACCAGUUAGGAUUAGUUGUAUUUAUGAGAAGCCCAAAUUUGCUCAAAUCACACCAUUGCAAAGACUGACAUACACAGUCUGAGAGGAAAAACUAAUCAUAAACUUUUUUUUUUUUUUUGACAGGCAGAGUUAGACAAUGAGAGAGAGAGACAGAGAGAAAGGUCUUCCUUUGCCGUUGGUUCAGCCUCCAAUGGCCGCCGCAGCCAGCGUGCUGCGGCUGGCGCACCAUGCUGAUACGAAGCCAGGAGCCAGGUACUUCCUCCUGGUCUCCCAUGCGGGUGCAGGGCGCAAGCACUUGGGCCAUCCUCCACUGCACUCCCGGGCCACAGCAGAGAGCUGGACAAGAAGAGAAGCGACCCGGACAGAAUCUGGCACCCUGAUCGGGACUAGAACCUGGUGUGCCGGCACCGCAGGCAGAGGAUUAGCCUAUUGAGCCACGACACCGGCCUAUAAACUUUCAAAUACUAAUCAUUUGGAGCCAGCAUUGUGGUGCAAUGAAUUAAACUACCAUUUGUGACAAUAGUAUUCCAUGUUGCAGUGCUUUUUGAGUACUGGAUGCUCUGUUUCCAAUCCAGCUCCCUGCUAAUGCACCUGAGAAAGCAACAAAAAAUGGCUCAAGUACUCUUGGCCCCCUGCCUCCCAUAUGGGAGACCAGAAUGAAAUUUCUGGCUUCUUUCUUUGGCCUGGCCCAGACCUGGCUGUUGUGGCCAUUUGGGAAGUAAACCAACAAAUGAAAGAUCUCUCUCUCUCUCUCUCUCUCUCUCUUUUCUCUGCCAUUCAAAAAAAUCUUUUAAAAAAGAACUAAAAUACAAAUCAGUUGGGUUUUUAAAAAUAUUUAUUUGAUUGAUUAUUUAUGUAUUUAUCUGAAAGGCAGAGUUAGAGAGAGACAGAAGUUGAGAGAGAUCUUUCAUCCACUGGCUCACUUGCCAAAUGGCCACAACAGGAGGUGCUGAGCCAGGCUGAAGCAAGGAGUCUGUAACAACUCUCUCUGGGUAUCCCACACUGGUGGCAGGAGUCUGAUUACCUGGGCCAUCCUCCACUGCCUUCCCAGGCACAUUAGCAGGGAGCUGGAUGAGAAUGGAGCAGCCAAGACUCGAACUGGCGCUACUGGCUGCUCUGAUAUGGGAUGGUGGUGUCACAAGCAGCAGCUUAACAUGCUAAACCAAAAUGCUGGCCCCAAAAUCAGUUGUUAAACAUGUUAACUUUCUCUUUACUUCAACAAACUGUUUUGCCAGUUUUAUUUGGUAUCACUUGAAUAUUUUAAAUAUUCAUAACAUUGUUACAAAGUUCCUUGAAGAGCAGAUCAAACCACUGUAAGUCAUAAUAGUGUGAGAUUGUAUUUAUUUCAAUUAUUCACACAGUAGAAAUAAGGAACUUUGAAUUGGGGCAUUUUAUUUCAUGUGUUUGUUCUCUGUUGCAAGUAAAUUCUAAGUUAGCUAACAACCUUCCAAUAAUUUUGAUAUCCUUUCUUAUUCUAAAUAGUUCUACUUUCUUGAGUUAUGAUUUUAUCUAUUUUUCUCUAACCUAGUUUAAUUUGUUUUUAUCAAUUCAGAUGAGUAAAAUCAUUAUAGUGAGCAUUAUGGGGAAAUGCUGAGUUGGUAUAGACAAGCAUAUUGCCACCAGCGAGUUUACAUUCUAAUUGGAAUGAAUCAUGUCUACUUAAAUAACAAUACGGCAACAUGGACAUAGAUACUUGAGGAAGAGUGGUACACAUAAAGAUCCAUGAGAACUCUAAUAACAGAAAUAUUAAUCCCAGGGGCCAGUGUUGUGGUUAAGUCACCACCUGAGAUGUUGGCAUCCCAUGUGGGUGCCGGUUUGAAUACUAGCUGCCCUACUUCUGGUUCAGCUCCCUGUUAAUGUGCUUGGAAAAGCAGUAGAAGAUGGCCCAAGUGUUCGGGCUCCUGUACCCAUGUGGGAGACCCGGAAGAAGCUCCUGACUCCUGGCCUAGCCAUCUGGAGAGUGAAACAGCAGAUGGAAGAUCAACCUUUCUCUCUCUCUGUCUCUCUCUCUCACUCUCCCCCACUCCUUGUCUGUAUAACUCUUUCAAAUAAAAUAAAUAAAUCAUUAAAAAGAAGAAAUAUUCAUCUCAGGGAGAUGAAACAAGCAUCACAGAGAAAGUUAUGUUUGAGUUGAGCCUUGAAAGGCAGGCAGGGUUUGUAUUUCUGGGAUAGAAAAAUGCGAGCAUAUAAUUGGGUGAGAUAACCAAGCUUAGUGACUUACAGGGAUUUACAUUUCUCCUCUCUUUCAAGGUAUAGCUUCCCCAUACUCAUUUGGGAGCAUAUGGUAUGGUAUAGCCAGCUAGACCUUUAUGGCAAUGGUAUAUGCAGAAAUGGACCAUCAAGAGCUGUUACAGUAAAACAGACACAGAUAAACAUCAUCUUAACUGCCUCAUUAGAUGGUAACAAGCUGAUAUGCAAAUAAGUGGCCUGCACAAUGUGACCUCUUCAGGAAGAAAGGAGGGAGGGAGGGAGGGAGAGAAUGAAAGUACCCUGAAAUUUAUUCACAACAGGAAUUUUUUAAACAUUGGAAUAUCUUUAACUGUUGAUUAGUCUUCUAAGUAGCUUACAGCAGCUGCUAGAAAAUCCAGUGUUAGAAAGAAGAAAUCAUAUGCAGAAAGAAAAGAUGGGAGAAAUAGAUAUUUUUAAUUUUUUCCUUUAUUUGAAAGAGUUAGAGGCUGAGAGAGAGAAAGAGAAUAAAAGAGAGAAUCCUCCAUCAACUGGUUCACUCCCCAAAUGACAACAACAGCCGGAGAUGGUCCAGGCCAAAGCCAAGAGCCAAGUGCUUCAUCCGGAUCCCCCAUAUGAGUGGCAAGGGCGCAAGCAAAUAGGCCAUCUUCUGUUGCUUUCCCAUGUAUGUUAGCAAGGAUCUGGAUCAGACUUGGAGCAGCCCGGAGUCAAACAGAUGCCCACUUGGGAUGCCGGCGUCAGAGGCAACAGCUCAGUGCACUACACCACAGCACCGCCCCCAGAAGAGGUAUUUUUAAUAAUUUUAAAGUGGAUAUUUUUUAAAAAAGAUUUAUUUAGUUAUUUGAAAGGCAGUGCUACAGAGAGGCAGAGGCAGAGAGAGAGGUCUUCUAUCUGCUGGUUCAUUCCCUAGAUGGCCACAACAGCUAGAACUGAGCCAAUCCAAAGCCAGGAGCUAGGAGCUUCUUCUGGGGCUCCCAUUUGGGUGUAGGGGCCCAAGGAUCUGGGCCAUCUUCUAUUGCUUUCCCACACCAUAGCAGAGAGUUGGAUCCAAAGAGAAGCAGCCACAACUUGAAGCAGCACCCAUAUGGGAUGCCGGCACUGCAGAUGUCAAUUUUACCCACUACGCCACUGUGCAGGCCCCUAGAAAUGGCUGAUAUUUUAUGUCAACCAAUAACUCUGGAAAAUUUUCCUAGAGGGGCCAGUGUUGUGGCAUAAUUGGUUAAGCUGCCACUCACAACCCCAGCAUCAGAUAUGGGAGCUGGUUCGAGUCCUGGCUACUCAAUUUCCAAUCCAGCUCCCUGCUAAUGUGUCUGGGAAACAGUGGAAGAUGGCCCAAGUGCCUGGGCCCCUACGACUGUGUGGGAGACCUAGAAGAAGCUCCUGGCUCCUGGUUUUGGCCUGACCCAGCACUGACAUUGCAGCAAUUUGGAGAUGAACCAGUAGAUGGAAGAUAUCUGUCUCUCUAUCUAUGACUCUGCUUUUCAAACAAAUAAAAUAAAUCAUUAAAAAAUUCCUAGGACUCUUGGGACUAACUAUGAUUUUCUACUAUUUACCAAUAAAUUGGCAAUAAUGUAUGGAUGAGAAUAUUUCUAUAAUCCUUCCUAAUCACAAUAUGAUGCCCAGAAGCCCUAAAGAAAAAGAUCAACAUUUUUGACUAUAUAAAUAAUAUCUUUUGGGACUGGCUUAUUUCACUCAGCAUGAUGUGUUCCAGAUUCCUCCAUUUUGUGGUAAAUGACUGGAUUUCAUGGUUUUGUUUGUUUUUUUACUGCUGUAUAGUAUUCUAUAGAGUACAUGUCCCAUAAUUUCUUUAUCCAGUCUACUGUUGAUGGGCAUUUAGGUUGAUUCCAGGUCUUAGCUAUUGUGAAUUGAGAUACAAUAAACAUUAAGGUGCAGACAGCUUUUUUGUUUGCCAAUUUAAUUUCCUUUGGAUAAAUUCCAAAGGGACAAAUAUCAUAUGUUCUCCCUGAUUGGUGACAACUGACCGAGCACCAAAAAGGAAACCUGUUGAAGUGAAAUGGACAUUAUGAGAGACAGUGACUUGAUCAGCCCUUGCCCUGACUGUGGAUGAACAACUUAAUACUUUAUCCCUUUUAGUAUUUUUUUUGUUCUACUUAAUACUAUUGGUUGAACUCUGUAAUUAACACACAAUUAUUCUUAGGUGUUUAAAUUUAACUAAAAGUGAUCUCUGUUACAUAUAAAGUGGGAAUAAGAGAGGGAGGAGAGGUACAAUUUGGGACAUGCUCAAUUGGACUUGCCCCAAACGGUAGAGUUAGAAACAGACCAGGGGAUUCCAAUUGAAUCCCAUCAAGGUGGCAUGUACCAAUGCCAUCUCACUAGUCCAAGUGAUCAAUUUCAGUUCACAAUUGAUCAUAAUGAUAGGAUUAAGAGUUAAAGGGAUCACACCAACAAGACUAGUGUCUGCUAAUACUAACUGAUAGAAUCAAAAAGGGACAGAACUAUCCAAUAUAGGAAGUGGGAUACACAGCAGACUCAUAGAAUGGCAGACGUCCUAAACAGCACUCUGGCCUCAGAAUCAGCCCUUAAGGCAUGCGGAUCCAGCUGAAGAGCCCAUGAGAGUAUUUCAGACGUAGAAAGCCAAGACACUCUGGCAAAAAAAAAAAAAAAAAAAACUAAAUGAAGUAUCUCUGUGAGUGAGAUCUCAGCAGAAAGAACAGGCCAUCAAAGAAGGAGGCACCUUUCUCUGAAGGGAGGAGAGAAUUUCCACUUUGACUAUGACCUCGUUUAAGAUCAGAGUCGACGAACUCAAAAUGCUUCCAUAGCCUUGGCAACUCAUGACAAGAGCCUAGGGAGAUUACUGAGUGUCAAUUUGCUAAGUCAACAACAGGAGUCACCGUGCACUUACUCCUCAUGUAGGAUCUCUGUCCUUAAUGUGUUGUUCAAUGUGAAUUAAUGCUAUAACUAGUACUCAAACAGUAUUUUACACUUUAUGUUCUGUGUGGAUGCAAACUGUUGAAAUCUUUACUUAAUAUAUACUAAAUUGAUCUUCUGUAUAUAAAGAUAAUUGAAAAUGAAUCUUGAUGUGAAUGGGAUGGGAGAGGGAGCAGGAGAUGGGAUGGUUGCAGGUGGGAGGGAAGUUAUGGGAGGGAAGCCAUUGUAAUCCAUAAACUAUACUUCAGAAAUUUAUAUUUAUUAAAUAAAAGUUAAAAAAUAAAUAAUAUCUUUUAUAUAAAAACUCACUAUAAGCAAAAAUAAGAGACACUAAACAUGGAAGAAAAUAUUUUCAACAUACAGCAAUACUUCAAAAAGUUCAUAAAAAUGGUUUAAAAGAUUUAUUUUGGUGUAAAAAUAUUUAAUGCAUACUUGCAUGAAAGUGCAUAGGUAAAUAUCACUUUAUAUAGAAAGUUCUUUUUUUUUUCUUUUAAAGACGUUGUUAUUAGAAAUACAGAAAUACAGAAAAAAGUGGGAAGAGAGAAAGAGAUAUCUUCCAUCUGCUGGUUCACUCCCCAAAUGGCCACAACUGGGCCAAGCCGAAGCCAGGAGACAGGAGCUUCUUCCAGGUCUUGGGUGCAGGUUCCCAAGUACUUGGGCCAUCUUCUGCUGCUUUCCUAGGCAUAUUAGCAAGGAGCUGGAUUGGAAGGGGAGCAGCUGGGACUUGAACUGUCACCAUGUGGUAUGCUGGCGCUGGAGGCAGCCCCUCAAUCUUCUAAGCCACAACAACUGCCAACAAAUCUAAUUUUUUUAUGAAACAUAAUAAACAUCUUUAAAGAUAUGGAACUAUUUCCAAUGUAACUAGCAAUUAACUCAAAUUUAAACAACAAAUUGUUUUAUUUGCAAGACAGGUCAAGAUUAAGAGCAAUAAUAAUAUCUAGUGUUGGUGAAUAUAGGGAAUAUUACCAAGGUCAUGUACUUUUGUGAAAAGUAUAUUGAUUUUCAGCAAGCUAUUUGCAGUAUUUCUCAAAAAUACAUACUUUGAUCUAGUAGCUCUAUGUCUAUGAAGUCAACCUAUAAUAAUAAUAAUACAAAAGCACAUGAACCAUAUAUAUAAUUGCCUGUUUGUCAUAGCAAAAAAAUUACAAAAUUUAUCAAGAUAUUGAUUAAAUAUAUUAUCAUGAAUUUUUAUAAGGAUGUAUCCAUUUUGUAAUUUUAGCAAGGGGGAAAGGAAGGAGGGGGAAAUUGUUCAAAAUUAUUAAAAAUAAAAUUAGGGGCAGGCCCUUGGCCUGGUGGUUAAGCCACCAGCUGGGAUGCUCACAUCCCAUGUGGGAGUAGCUUGGUGUUUCCUGUUAAUGUGCAUACUGGCAGACAGCAGGUGAUAGCUCAAGUAAAUGUGUUCUCACCGCCCAUCUGGGAGACUUUGAGAGA